UCCAGAUAUUUUCACCUGUGUGAAAAGGAAGACAGAGACACAUAGGGAAAAAAAAAAUCCCUUUGCCUAAUGAUCUUGAACUCAGAAUUAUGGUCAAGAUGUGGUGGGGUGUUUUUUUGUUUGUUUGUUUGUUUAUUGUUUUUCUUUUCCUGGAGAAGGCAGAGAAUAGAGUGAAAGACACCCAAAACACCAAAUCUUCCUAAUGUUAAUUAUCAUUGUUUAUGUUUUGUGAAACCCAUUUUAAACAUUCCACAACUGAAAUAAAGGACAGGAUACAAUUAUAUCACAGCUCUACAAGCUGACGGCGAAACCUGGAAUUAUUUUAGCCCUAUUUUUCCAUCUCACAACCAGAUACAGUAUGCUUUUUUUUUUCUUUCACGUGGGUACAUACUAUAUCUCAAAAAAAAAUAGCAUAUCACAGCUCCUCGCGAAUUCCUGUGAUAAAAUAUCUAGCAAUGAGCCUUAUUAAUCUUUUCUUACACUACAUCCCCUUUCCCAGGAGGGACUGUUAAUAUCACUAAUAACACUUCUACCAUGAAUUUCAAUGCCACACAGGCCAACCCACCCUGCGCCUUACCUGGCACAUUUCACAACUACUUUUUAUGCUGCAUUCUGGGGGCACAUUUUGCAACUCGUUCUGCACCACAUUCUCUGCCACGUUUAGCAAUCUGCCUCGCAUCUCAUCCUGGGUCCCCGUCAUCCAGAGACUCUCCUCGGUGCCAAAUUCCUUGACACCUUCGGUGACACCGAAGUAACCAACCCCGGUCCUAUCUGAAGUCACCCUGGGUGCCACAUUUGGAGCCAACCUUCCCCACGCCUUGGACACCGGAGGCACUUCGCUGCCCGUUUCGCUGUCUCCCCGCUCGCCCCCGCCCCUCUCCCUGGAGCGGA
rnacentral:lncRNA from 1 species